AAGGAUGCAAGCUAGGAAGAUCCAAUGGUCAUAAAGGGUGUUGAGUCCUUUUGAAAGGAUUUUGAUCCAGUUUGGGUUUCUGACCUGUAAAAGAGGUCUAAGAGGCAUGAAGCAAAGAUGAGCAGCUUGGAGUGAGCAGCUACGGUAGGGCAUCAGCAACAGCGACAGAGGACAGUUAAGGAGUGGCUUGGCAUGAGCAGCAGU
rnacentral:lncRNA from 1 species